rnacentral:lncRNA from 1 species
GUCAAGCCACUGCGACUAUUUUGUGAACCUACCCUACGGCUGAGGAGGUCUUCAAAAUAAUAUUUAUGCUCCUUUCGAGUACUAAUUGUAACUCAAAAUUGACUUGUUGUGUCCCUAAUGCUUUGUCUUAUGUAGGAAAUCGUCUGAUAUGGACCUUGGAGGGACUGGCGAAAAAUCAAGUACUAAUAGCCUUGGCAGCAAAAGAUCUUGCCCCGAUGCUGCCA